CUUCUUCCACUACAGAUGCAAGAAAAAAGUGUCCUUGUGUUUUCUCUCUGAUUGUGGUGGCCAGAUUGAAUGGAGGAAUACAGCA
rnacentral:snoRNA from 1 species